GAUUCGGGAGUUUAGGGGGUCAGAUUUUUUUUCUCUCUCCUCCAAGGACAAUUGUUUUGUAGGCUGUGUGUGUUCGUGUGUGAGUGUGUGUGUUCUGGGGGAGGGGUUAUUUUGAUUUUUUUUUUAUUUGCUCUUUCCUUUCUUUUGCCCCCCUCCCCCCUCCCCCAGAAGAAAAUAUUUUAAAAUAAAAGACAACAAACCUAGUAGCUUAGUAACCGUGGAAUCCCCGGAGCUCAGGAUCCUGGCAACUGGGCCGGCAGAAUAACAACUGGAGACAAGCUGUGAGGGGAGCCAGGGGCUGGUAGGGCCCCUUCCUCCCGCUCCUGCCACAGCAAGGAGAUCGGGCAGUCUCGGCCCGGAUAACCCGCCCUCAACUCCCUCACUCACCCACGCUAGUUCAGUAAUGGAACACCACCCCUCUCCCCUUUCUCCGCUCCCCUCCUGGACAGAGGCGUUCACAACUGGGCAGUCUAGGCACGAGACCCCUUCAGGAAGGGGGUGGGGGUGGAAGAGAGGGCUCAGACCCUCCCCCCAUCCUCAUCUACCUUUCCGGACCCUCUCGAGCCAACUGUCCUCCCGAGCCACCUAUACCGCCCCAGGGCACAAUACUCCUCCUGCCCCUGCAGCCCGGGUCCUGGGAAUGAGAUGAGGAAAAUGAGAUCCAGGGAGAAGUGUCUAGCUAGCCCCAAGACACACAAGUCCUGACAGUAGCACAGUCAUGCAGGGUGAAGAGUGAGCCAGCCUGGCUUUCAAACCUGGUUUCCGUGUCUUUUCCCCUAUUACUUUCUGGGGCUCCAGCAUCCUUUCAGUCACUCAGGUUCCCAUCUUCAGGCUCCACACCUCACUCUACCUCAUUCCACUAAAGCCCAAUCAGUUGCCAAAUUUUGAAUUUUGCCAUUUUUACCUUCACAAAACCUCCCCUAUUCUUUCUUUUGCUUCUUUCCACUCAUACAGCCACUACUCUAGCUCAGACAUACCCUCGUUUAUUCUUCCCUGGACUAUUGCAAUAAUCUCCUAAUUGGUCUCUCUGCCUCAAGUUUCUCCAUUCUAUCCAUCUCCCAGCUACCAAAUCAAUUUUCCUAAAGAACAGGUUUGACCAGCCACUCUCUUGCUCAAGAAAUUUCACUGGUUCCCUAUUCCCCUUAAGAUCAAAUAUAAGCUCUCAUUUGCCAUUUAAAAUUCUUCACAACUUGUUCUCUUCCCAUCUUUCUGGUCCUAUACUUCUUUCAUGCACUCUACCAUUCAGCCAUAUUGGACUAUUUACUGCUCCUCAGACACAACACUCCAUCUCUUCUCCACACUGGUCUCCAAACCUGAAGUAUGCUCCCUCCUUUUGGAAUCCCUGAUUUUCUUCAGGGCUCAGGUCAAAGUGUUAUCUUCUAUCUCAAACUUUUCCAGAUCCCUGCUUUGAAUUUUCCCCCUUUCCCAAUUAUCUUGCAUUUACUUUAUGUGAGUAUGUACAAAUCUAUACAUAUAUGAACACAUUGUCAUUUCUAGCCAGAUUGUAAGCUCUUUAAGGGCAGGAGUCCUUGUCACUUUUGGACCUUCAAUACCAACCUGGAUACAUGGUAAAUGAAUAAUAAAAGCUUGCAAAUGAUUGAGAAUAAAGUGUUA
ensembl:lncRNA